AAAUUGAAGAGUUUGAUCAUGGCUCAGAUUGAACGCUGGCGGCAGGCCUAACACAUGCAAGUCGAACGGUAACAGGAAGCAGCUUGCUGCUUUGCUGACGAGUGGCGGACGGGUGAGUAAUGUCUGGGAAACUGCCUGAUGGAGGGGGAUAACUACUGGAAACGGUAGCUAAUACCGCAUAACGUCGCAAGACCAAAGAGGGGGACCUUCGGGCCUCUUGCCAUCGGAUGUGCCCAGAUGGGAUUAGCUUGUUGGUGGGGUAACGGCUCACCAAGGCGACGAUCCCUAGCUGGUCUGAGAGGAUGACCAGCCACACUGGAACUGAGACACGGUCCAGACUCCUACGGGAGGCAGCAGUGGGGAAUAUUGCACAAUGGGCGCAAGCCUGAUGCAGCCAUGCCGCGUGUAUGAAGAAGGCCUUCGGGUUGUAAAGUACUUUCAGCGGGGAGGAAGGGAGUAAAGUUAAUACCUUUGCUCAUUGACGUUACCCGCAGAAGAAGCACCGGCUAACUCCGUGCCAGCAGCCGCGGUAAUACGGAGGGUGCAAGCGUUAAUCGGAAUUACUGGGCGUAAAGCGCACGCAGGCGGUUUGUUAAGUCAGAUGUGAAAUCCCCGGGCUCAACCUGGGAACUGCAUCUGAUACUGGCAAGCUUGAGUCUCGUAGAGGGGGGUAGAAUUCCAGGUGUAGCGGUGAAAUGCGUAGAGAUCUGGAGGAAUACCGGUGGCGAAGGCGGCCCCCUGGACGAAGACUGACGCUCAGGUGCGAAAGCGUGGGGAGCAAACAGGAUUAGAUACCCUGGUAGUCCACGCCGUAAACGAUGUCGACUUGGAGGUUGUGCCCUUGAGGCGUGGCUUCCGGAGCUAACGCGUUAAGUCGACCGCCUGGGGAGUACGGCCGCAAGGUUAAAACUCAAAUGAAUUGACGGGGGCCCGCACAAGCGGUGGAGCAUGUGGUUUAAUUCGAUGCAACGCGAAGAACCUUACCUGGUCUUGACAUCCACGGAAGUUUUCAGAGAUGGAAAUGUGCCUUCGGGAACCGUGAGACAGGUGCUGCAUGGCUGUCGUCAGCUCGUGUUGUGAAAUGUUGGGUUAAGUCCCGCAACGAGCGCAACCCUUAUCCUUUGUUGCCAGCGGUCCGGCCGGGAACUCAAAGGAGACUGCCAGUGAUAAACUGGAGGAAGGUGGGGAUGACGUCAAGUCAUCAUGGCCCUUACGACCAGGGCUACACACGUGCUACAAUGGCGCAUACAAAGAGAAGCGACCUCGCGAGAGCAAGCGGACCUCAUAAAGUGCGUCGUAGUCCGGAUUGGAGUCUGCAACUCGACUCCAUGAAGUCGGAAUCGCUAGUAAUCGUGGAUCAGAAUGCCACGGUGAAUACGUUCCCGGGCCUUGUACACACCGCCCGUCACACCAUGGGAGUGGGUUGCAAAAGAAGUAGGUAGCUUAACCUUCGGGAGGGCGCUUACCACUUUGUGAUUCAUGACUGGGGUGAAGUCGUAACAAGGUAACCGUAGGGGAACCUGCGGUUGGAUCACCUCCUUACCUUAAAGAAGC
rnacentral:rRNA from 1 species